rnacentral:rRNA from 1 species
AACGUAGGUUCCGAGCGUUAUCCGGAUUUACUGGGCGUAAAGCGCGUUCAGGCGGUUCGGCAAGUCGGGCAUGAAAUCUCUCGGCUCAACCGGGAGAGGUUGUCCGAUACUGUUGGACUUGAGGGCAGUAGAGGGUGGUGGAAUUCCGGGUGUAGUGGUGAAAUGCGUAGAUAUCCGGAGGAACACCAGUGGCGAAAGCGGCCACCUGGACUGUACCUGACGCUGAGGCGCGAAAGCUAGGGGAGCAAACAGG